rnacentral:rRNA from 1 species
UCGUGGGGUGACUUGUCUGCUUAAUUGCGAUAACGAGCGAGACCUUACUCUGCUAAAUAGCCAGGCUAGCUUUGGCUGGUCGCCGGCUUCUUAGAGGGACUAUCGGCUCAAGCCGAUGGAAGUUUGAGGCAAUAACA